AGAGUUGAUCAUGGCUCAGGAUGAACGCUAGCGACAGGCUAACACAUGCAAGUCGAGGGGCAGCACGGGGGUAGCAAUACAACUGGUGGCGACCGGCGCACGGGUGAGUAACGCGUAUGCAACCUACCUAUCAGAGGGGAAUAACCCGGCGAAAGUCGGACUAAUACCGCAUAAAACAGGGGCACCGCAUGGUGAUAUUUGUUAAAGAAAUUCGCUGAUAGAUGGGCAUGCGUUCCAUUAGGUAGUUGGUGAGGUAACGGCUCACCAAGCCGACGAUGGAUAGGGGAACUGAGAGGUUGGUCCCCCACACUGGUACUGAGACACGGACCAGACUCCUACGGGAGGCAGCAGUGAGGAAUAUUGGUCAAUGGGCGAGAGCCUGAACCAGCCAAGUCGCGUGAAGGAAGAAGGAUCUAUGGUUCGUAAACUUCUUUUGCAGGGGAAUAAAGUGCAGGACGUGUCCUGUUUUGUAUGUACCCUGAGAAUAAGGAUCGGCUAACUCCGUGCCAGCAGCCGC
rnacentral:rRNA from 1 species